rnacentral:rRNA from 1 species
ACAGAGGUCUCUAGCGUUGUUCGGAUUUACUGGGCGUAAAGGGAGCGUAGGCGGUCCGGUGUGUUGAAUGUGAAAUCCCACAACUCAACUGUGGAAAUGCAUUCAAAACUGCCGGGCUAGAGUACUGGAGAGGAGAGCGGAACUCCUGGUGUAGCGGUGGAAUGCGUAGAUAUCAGGAAGAACACCGGUGGCGAAGGCGGCUCUCUGGACAGAUACUGACGCUGAGGCUCUAAAGUUAGGGGAGCAAACAG